rnacentral:rRNA from 1 species
AACGAACGCUGGCGGCAUGCCUAACACAUGCAAGUCGAACGAAGCCUUCGGGCUUAGUGGCGCACGGGUGCGUAACGCGUGGGAAUCUGCCCUUGGGUUCGGAAUAACAGUUAGAAAUGACUGCUAAUACCGAAUGAUGUCUUCGGACCAAAGAUUUAUCGCCCAAGGAUGAGCCCGCGUCGGAUUAGCUAGUUGGUGAGGUAAAGGCUCACCAAGGCGACGAUCCGUAGCUGGUCUGAGAGGAUGAUCAGCCACACUGGGACUGAGACACGGCCCAGACUCCUACGGGAGGCAGCAGUGGGGAAUAUUGGACAAUGGGCGAAAGCCUGAUCCAGCAAUGCCGCGUGAGUGAUGAAGGCCUUAGGGUUGUAAAGCUCUUUUACCCGGGAUGAUAAUGACAGUACCGGGAGAAUAAGCCCCCGGCUAAACUCCGUGCCAGCAGCCGCGGUAAU